rnacentral:rRNA from 1 species
GAUGAACGCUGGCGGCGUGCCUAAUACAUGCAAGUCGAGCGAACGGACGAGAAGCUUGCUUCUCUGAUGUUAGCGGCGGACGGGUGAGUAACACGUGGAUAACCUACCUAUAAGACUGGGAUAACUUCGGGAAACCGGAGCUAAUACCGGAUAAUAUUUUGAACCGCAUGGUUCAAAAGUGAAAGACGGUCUUGCUGUCACUUAUAGAUGGAUCCGCGCUGCAUUAGCUGGUUGGUAAGGUAACGGCUUACCAAGGCAACGAUGCGUAGCCGACCUGAGAGGGUGAUCGGCCACACUGGAACUGAGACACGGUCCAGACUCCUACGGGAGGCAGCAGUAGGGAAUCUUCCGCAAUGGGCGAAAGCCUGACGGAGCAACGCCGCGUGAGUGAUGAAGGUCUUCGGAUCGUAAAACUCUGUUAUUAGGGAAGAACAUAUGUGUAAGUAACUGUGCACAUCUUGACGGUACCUAAUCAGAAAGCCACGGCUAACUACGUG